CUCCGGCUGCGCUUCCCUAGCGGCUCGGCGUCCCGGCGACCAUCUCCGAGGCGGCUUCUUUCUGUAGCAGCCAAGGAGAAGGCCGGCCCGGACAAAUUCUCGGACGCCGCUCCACUAAUCAAGGCCACCUUUCCUCACCGCCGUCGUCCGCUAAUCAAGGUUAGGAAGAAGCAGCUGCUGACAGGCGAUGGCAUUGGGUACCUGGAGGCAAAGCACCACCUGCUGCUGAGCUACUGCCAGGACCUCGUCUACUACCUGCUACGCAAGGCCAAGGGGCUGUCCGUUGACGGCCACCCCGUUGUGCGCAGCCUUGUCAAGAUCAGGCUGUUUCUUGAGAAGAUUCGCCCGAUAGACAAGAAGAUGGAGUACCAGAUCCAGAAGCUCACCUGCAGAUGGUGCAGCUGCCCAGGAUAAGCCACACACACCAGGCAAAGAUGGUAUCUACGUUCCUCCGAAAAUUGGGCCAGCUACCAUGGAUGAUCAUCAUAGCAAAGAAGCUGUAAGGAAAGAGAAAAGAUUAUUACGUAUGGCAACAGAGAAUCCUUACUUCAAGGGGACGACUGCUGCUGCUGAUGGACCAGAGGAGGAUUCUACAUUCUGUCAGGAUGAACGUUGUACAUGUUGUUGUUUGACCUCGCCGAGGUCGCCCUCUUGCAGUUGCCUAGCCCGGAGAAGGUCGUCUUUGUCUCCAUAGUCGCCGUCAUCAUGUCCUUCACCUAAUCCUUCAUCGUGCUCUUCCCGAGUGCCUUAACCUGCGCGUGAGGAGAGACCGGCGGUGGCGUGUGUCGGCCAGCGGCGGAGCGAAGGAGCCGCAGGCGGUGACCUGUGUGUAAGGAGAGAUCAAUGGGCGGCAGGUGCGGGGUUGACGCGGAUGUGGAUAAAGAAGCAAGGGAGCGGUGACGAUGGAGGAGGAGGUAGGAGCGUGUGGCAUAGGAGUGUCUAGCAGGCGUCGGUCGCGGGUUUAGAAUUUCGUCCGGCCCCUCAAAUUGGUAAUGUACCUUUGUCUUGAUUUAUUAGUCCUCUUUAUAUUAUCAUAUUUUUACUAUGAUUCUAGCCAAUAAAAUAUAAAUUAUUUUGUCAGAAAAAAUAAUAAUAUUGUCAGUGUUGAACGAUAUAAUUUUCCGUGAGGAAGAGGAUGUCAUAAUUUAAAAAAUGAGGCAUUAUUGCCUCAGGUUCUACUGUCAGUAGUAGUUAAAGCACUGUGCAUGAACGCACGCUAAUAAUGUCGGCCUUAGGCUGGCCAUAGUGAGAGUAACUCAGGUAGUAUCAUGUUCUUGGAACUAGCAAACAUGCUGAUGUGGCAGACAAUUAAAGAAGAGAGGAGGUUAUAGUAACAUAGGCAGAUACCAUAACGUUCAUGGAGUGCAGGGUGGAUGCGACGGUGGUGGUGGCGGCGAGGAGGCAGAGGCAUUCGUCGUUGACGGGGCAGGCGGUGAGCUGGCCGCGGCGACUUGAAUAUCGCACCGCGAACCUCGCGCCGGCUGGCUGGGUGCUCCCCGCGCCGGCACCUGCUCUGGGAAGAGCGGGAGUGAUGGUGGGGAAGUGGCCGCCGCGUCCCCGGGUGCCCGCCGCCCUCCCCGCGCACAUGGUCGACAUCAGCCCCCCAGCGCUGAAGGAGUAGGAGGGGAUGUGGAGGUCCUCAAAAUCCAUCGACUUGGCUUGCGUUGGGCACAAAGUCAAAGAAUAAGGGUGGUGGCAAGAAAAAGAAAGGCAAGAAAGGAGAUGCAGCAGAGCCCGUAUGGAGGUUUCUCAGGACGCACCAAGCCAGGAAUAAUUCGUUUUUUUCUUCUUCUUUGAAUUGCUUUUGUUACGUUUGUACCUGCUCCUUUGCUGCAUCUGAUUGUGUUAUAUUACAUUCAGCUGCGGGAAUUUGAGUACCUUCUUUUGAGUGUCUAAUGAAAAUGAUCGAUCCUGCCACACAUCACGUGGAACACAAGCCUGAUAAUUAUGUAUGGUGUGCUGAAUGUUUACCUGUCAGUUCUGCUUAUAAA